rnacentral:lncRNA from 1 species
UCUCCGUGUGCCAUAAAAAAUCCGCGGGCAAAACCGCGCCUAAAAAUAACCACCCGAAGGCCGGGGCGCCAAGUUCGUCCAGCGGUAAAAGGCCACAAAAACGGGUGGGCUAUAGCCUUGGGGGGUGGGGCUGGCCCACUUCGUCCGCCGGACUCGGCAUGCCGCGAGACUUUGCGAGGGGCCUCCGUGUGCCAAAAAUAGGCCGCGGGCAAACCGCGCCCAAAAAUAACCGCCCGAAAGCCGGGGCGUCAAGGUCGUCCAGCGGUAAAAGGCCAAAAAAACGAGUGGGCUGUAGCCUUGGGGGGUGGGGCUGGCCAACUUCGUCCGCCGGACACGGAAUGCCGCGAGACUUUGCGAGGGGCCUCCGUGUGCCAAAAAUAGGCCGUGGGCAAAGCCGCGCAGAAAAAUAACCACCCGAAGCCCGGGGCGCCUAGUUCGUCCUGCGGAAAAAGGCCACAAAAACGAGUGGGCUGUAGCCUUGGGGGGUGGGGCUGGCCAACUUCGUCCGCCGGACACGGAAUGCCGCGAGACUUUGCGAGGGGCCUCCGUGUGCCAAAAAUAGGCCGCGGGCAAAGCCGCGCAGAAAAAUAACCGCCCGAAGGCCGGGGCGCGAAGUUCGUCUAGCGGAAAAAGGCCACAAAAACGGGUGCGCUAUAGCCUUGGGGGGUGGGCCUGGCCAACUUCGUCCGCCGGACUCGGAAUGCCGCGAGACUUUGCGAGGGGCCUCCGUAUGCUAAAAAUAGGCCGCGGACAUAGCUAUGCCCAGAAAUAACCGCCCGAAGGCCGGGGCGGCAAUUUCGUCCAGCGGAAAAAGGCCACAAAAACGGGUGGGCUAUAGCCUUGGGGGGUGCGGCUGGCCCACUUCGUCCGCCGGACUCGGCAGGCCGUGAGACUUUGCGAGGGGCCUCCGUGUGCCAAAAAUAGGCCGCGGGCAAACCGCGCCCAAAAAUUACCGCCCGAAGGCCGGGGCGUCAAGUUCGUCCAGCGGAAAAAGGCCACAAAAACGGGUGGGCUAUAGCCUUGGGGGGUGGGGCUAGCCAACUUCGUCCACCGGACUCGGAAUGCCGCGAGACUUUGCGAGGAGCCUCCGUGUCCCAAAAAUAGGCCGCGGAUGAAGCCGCACCCAAAAAUAACCGUCCGAAGGCCAGGUCGCCAUGUUCGUCCAGCGGAAAAAGGCCACAAAAACGGGUGGGCUAUAGCCUUGGGGGGUGGGGCUGGCCGACUUCGUCCGCCGGACUCAGAAUGCCGCGAGACUUUGCGACGGGCCUCCGUGUGCCAAAAAUAGGCCGCGGGCAAACCGCGCCCAAAAAUAACCGCCCGAAGGCCGGGGUGUNNNNNNNNNNNNNNNNNNNNNNNNNNNNNNNNNNNNNNNNNNNNNNNNNNNNNNNNNNNNNNNNNNNNNNNNNNNNNNNNNNNNNNNNNNNNNNNNNNNNCACAAAAACGAGUGGGCUGUAGCCUUGGGGGGUGGGGCUGGUCAACUUCGUCCGCCGGACUCAGAAUGCCGCGUGACUUUGUAUGUGGCAUAUGUGUGCCAAAAAUAGGCCGCGGGCAAAGCCGCGCCCAAAAAUAACCGCCCGAAGGCCGGGGCGCCAAGUUCGUCCGGCGGAAAAAGGCCACAAAAACGGGUGGGCGAUAGCCUUGGGGGGUGGGGCUGGCCAUCUUCGUCCGCCGGACUCGGAAUGCCGCGAGACUUUGCGAGGGAUCUCCAUGUGCCAUAAAUAAUCCACGGGCAAAGCCGCACCUAAAAAUAACCGCCCGAAGGCCGGGGCGCCAAGUUCGUCCAGCGGUAAAAGGCCACAAAAACGGGUGGGCUAUAACCUUGGGGGGUGGGGCUGGCCCACUUCGUCCGCCGGACUCGGAAUGCCGCGAGACUUUGCGAGGGGCCUCCGUGUGCCAAAAAUAGGCCGUGGGCAAACCACGCCCAAAAAUAACCGCCCGAAGGCCGGGACGUCAAGUUCGUCCAGCGGAAAAAGGCCACAAAAACGGGUGGGCUAUAGCCUUGGGGGGUGGGGCUGGCCCACUUCGUCCGCCGGACUCGGCAUGCCACGAGAGUUUGCGAAGGGCCUCCGUGUGCCAAAAAUAGGCCGCGGGCAAACCGCGCCCAAAAAUAACCGCCCGAAGGCCGGGGCGCCAAGUUCGUCCAGCGGAAAAAGGCCACAAAAACGGGUGGGCUAUAGCCUUGGGGGGUGGGGCUGGCCGACUUCGUCCGCCGGAUUCAGAAUGCCGAGAGACUUUACGACGGGCCUCCGUGUGCCAAAAAUAGGCUGCGGGCAAAGGCGCACCCAAAAAUAACCGCCCGAAGGCCGGGGCGCCAAGUUCGUCCGGCGGAAAAAGGCCAGAAAAACGGGUGGGCUAUAGCCUUGGGGGGUGGGGCUGGCCAUCUUCGUCCGCCGGACUCGGAAUGCCGUGAGACUUUGCGAGGGAUCUCCGUGUGCCAUAAAUAAUCCGCGGGCAAAACCGCGCCUAAAAAUAACCACCCGAAGGUCGGGGCGCCAAGUUCGUCCAGCGGUAAAAGGCCACAAAAACGGGUGGGCUAUAGCCUUGGGGGGUGGGGCUGGCCAACUUCGUCUGCCGGACUCGGAAUGCCGCGAGACUUUGCGAGGGGCCUCCGUGUCCCAAAAAUAGGCCGCAGACGAAGCCGCACCCAAAAAUAACCGCAUGAAGGCCGGGUCGCCUUGUUCGUCCAGCGGAAAAAGGCCACAUAAACGGGUGGGCUAUAGCCUUGGGGGGUGGGGCUGGCCGACUUCGUCCGCCGGACUCAGAAUGCCGCGAGACUUUGCGACGGGCCUCCGUGUGCCAAAAAUAGGCCGCGGGCAAAGCCGCGCCCAAUUAUAACCGCCCGAAGGCCGGGGCACCAAGUUCGUCCGGCGGAAAAAGGCCACAAAAACGGGUGGGCUAUAGCCUUGGGGGGUGGGGCUGGCCUACUUCGUCCGCCGGACUCGGAAAGCUGCGAGACUUUGUGAGGGGCCUCUGUAUGCCAAAAAUAGGCAGCGGGCAAAGCCGCGCCCAAAAAUAACCGCCCGAAGGCCGGGGCGCCAAGUUCGUCCAGCGGAAAAAGGCCACAAAAACGGGUGGGCUAUAGCCUUGGGGGGUGGGGCUGGCCAACUUCGUCCGCCGGACUCGGAAUGCCGUGAGACUUUUCGGGGGGUCUCAGUGUGCCAAAAAUAGGCCGCGGCCAAAACCGCGCCCAAAAAUAACCGCCCGAAGGCCGGGGCGCCAAGUUCGUCCAGCGGAAAAAGGCCACAAAAACGGGUGGGUUAUAGCCUUGGGGGGUGGGGCUGGCCUACUUAGUCCGCCGGACUUGGAAUGCCGCGAGACUUUGCGAGGGGCCUCCUCGUGACAAAAAUAGGCCACGGGCAAAGCCGCGCCCAAAAAUAAUCGCCCGAAGGCCGGGGCGCCAAGUUCGUCCAGCGGAAAAAGGCCACAAAAACGGGUGGGCUAUAGCCUUGGGGGGUGGGGCUGGCCAACUUCGUCCGCCGGACUCGACAUGCCGCGAGACUUGUCGAGGGGCUUCCGUGUGCCAAAAAUAGGCCGCGGGCAAAGCCGCGCCCAAAAAUAUCCGCCCGAAGGCCGGGGCGCCAAGUUCGUCCAGCAGAAAAAGGCCACAAAAACGGGUGGGCUAUAGCCUUGGGGGGUGGGGCAGGCCUACUUAGUCCGCCUGACUCGGAAUGCCGCGAGACUUUGCGAGGGGCCUCCUCGUGCCAAAAAUAGGCCGCGGGCAAAGCCGCGCCCAAAAAUAACCGCCCGAAGGCCGGGGCGCCAAGUUCGUCCAGCGGAAAAAGGCCACAAAAACGGGUGGGUUAUAGCCUUGGGGGGUGGGGCUGGCCUACUUAGUCCGCCGGACUCGGAAUGCCGCGAGACUUUGCGAGGGGCCUCCUCGUGAAAAAACUAGGCCGCGGGCAAAGCCGCGCCCAAAAAUAACCGCCCGAAGGCCGGGGCGCCAAGUUCGUCCAGCGGAAAAAGGCCACAAAAACGGGUGGGCUAUAGCCUUGGGGGGUGGGGCUGGCCAACUUCGUCCGCCGGACUCGGAAUGCCGCGAGACUUUGCGAGGGGCCUCCGUGUGCCAAAAAUAGGCCGCGGGCAAAGCCGCGCCCGAAAAUAACCGCCCGAAGGCCGGGGCGCCAAAUUCGUCCAGCGGAAAAAGGCCAAAAAACGGGUGGGCUAUAGGCUGGGGGGGUGGUCUGGCCCACUUCGUCCGCGGACUCGAAUGCCGUGAGACUUACGAGGGGGCUCUUGUGACAAAAUAGGCCGCGGGCAAAGCCGCGCCCAAAAAUAAACGCCUGAAGGGCCGGGGUGCCAAGUUCGUCCAGCGCAAAAAGGCCACAAAAACGGGUGGGCUAAAGCCUUGGGGGGUGGGGCUGGCCUAAUUCGUCCGCCGGACUCGGAAUGCCGCGAGAAUUUGCGAGGGGCCUCCGUGUGCGAAAAAUAGGCCGCGGGCAAAGCCGCGCCCAAAAAUAACUGCCCGAUGGCCGGGGCGCCAAGUUCGUCCAGCGGAAAAAGGCCACAAAAACGGGUCGGCUAUAGCCUUGGGGGGUGGGGCUGGCAGCCUUCGUCCGCCGGAUCGAAAUGCCGCGAGACUUUGCGAGGGGCCUCCGUGUGCCAAAAAUAAGCCGUGGGCAAAGCCGCGCCCGAAAAUAACCGUCCGAAGGCCGGGGCGCCAAGUUCGUCCAGCGGAAAAAGGCCACAAAAACGGGUGGGCUAUAGCCUUGGGGGGUGGGGCUUGCCAACUUCGUCCGCCGGACUCGGAAUGCCGCGAGACUUUGAGAGGGACCUCCGUGUGCCAAAAAUAGGAUGCGAGCAAAGCUGCGCCUGAAAAUAACCGUCCGAAGGCUGGGGCGCCAAGUUCGUCCAGCGGAAAAAGGCCACAAAAACGGGUGGGCUAUAGCCUUGGGGGGUGUGGCUGGCCUACUUCGUCCGCCGGACUCGGAAUGCCGCAAGACCUUGCGAGGGGCCUCCGUGUGCCAAAAAUAGGCCGCGGGCAAGGCCGCGCCCAAAAAUAACCGCCCGAAGGCCGGGGCGCCAAGUUCGUCCAGCGGAAAAAGGCCACAAAAACGGGUGGGCUAUAGCCUUGGGGGGUAGGUCUGGCCCACUUCGUCCGCCGGACUCGGAAUGCCGCGAGACCUUGCGAGGGGACUCCGUGUGCCAAAAAUAGGAUGUGGACAAAGCUGCGCCUGAAAAUAACCGUCCGAAGGCUGGGGCGCCAA